rnacentral:rRNA from 1 species
GACGAACGCUGGCGGCGUGCUUAACACAUGCAAGUCGAACGGAAAGGCCCUGCUUUUGUGGGGUGCUCGAGUGGCGAACGGGUGAGUAACAAGUGAGUAACCUGCCCUUGACUUUGGGAUAACUUCAGGAAACUGGGGCUAAUACCGGAUAGGAGCUCCUGCUGCAUGGUGGGGGUUGGAAAGUUUCGGCGGUUGGGGAUGGACUCGCGGCUUAUCAGCUGGUUGGGGGGGUAGUGGCUUACCAAGGCUUUGACGGGUAGCCGGCCUGAGAGGGUGACCGGCCCCAUUGGGACUGGGAUACGGCCCAGACUCCUACGGGAGGCAGCGGUGGGAAAUAUUGCACAAUGGGCGGAAGCCUGAUGCAGCAACGCCGCGUGCGGGAUGACGGCCUUCGGGUUGUAAACCGCUUUCGCCUGUGACGAAGCGUGAGUGACGGUAAUGGGUAAAGAAGCACCGGCUAACUACGUG